rnacentral:tRNA from 1 species
GAAUAGAGAAGUUGGUCAUCUCACUAGGCUCAUGUUCUAGAAGUCAUAGGUUCGAAUCCUAUUUCC